rnacentral:rRNA from 1 species
CCUACGGGUGGCAGCAGUGAGGAAUAUUGGUCAAUGGACGAGAGUCUGAACCAGCCAAGUAGCGUGAAGGAUGACUGCCCUAUGGGUUGUAAACUUCUUUUAUAAAGGAAUAAAACGAGGCACGUGUGCCUUUUUGCAUGUACUUUAUGAAUAAGGAUCGGCUAACUCCGUGCCAGCAGCCGCGGUAAUACGGAGGAUCCGAGCGUUAUCCGGAUUUAUUGGGUUUAAAGGGAGCGUAGAUGGGUUGUUAAGUCAGUUGUGAAAGUUUGCGGCUCAACCGUAAAAUUGCAAGUGAUACUGGCAGUCGUGAGUACAGUUGAGGUAGGCGGAAUUCGUGGUGUAGCGGUGAAAUGCUUAGAUAUCACGAAGAACCCCGAUUGCGAAGGCAGCUUACUAAACUGCCACUGACAUUGAUGCUCGAAAGUGUGGGUAUCAAACAGGAUUAGAUACCCUUGUAGUC